GCUCCUACUUCAUUCUACGGCCGAGACCGGAGGAUGUUCCCUGCUCAGGAGGAGGCCGACAGGACCGUGUUUGUUGGGAAUUUAGAGGCCCGAGUUCGGGAAGAGAUUCUGUACGAGCUGUUCCUUCAGGCGGGGCCACUAACCAAAGUGACUAUAUGCAAAGACAGAGAAGGAAAGCCAAAGUCUUUUGGAUUUGUCUGCUUUAAACACCCAGAAUCGGUGUCUUAUGCCAUAGCUUUGCUGAAUGGAAUUCGUUUAUAUGGAAGACCAAUUAACGUGCAGUAUCGAUUUGGGAGUUCUCGCUCUUCUGAACCAGCUAACCAAAGUUUUGAGAGCUGUGUUAAGAUAAAUUCACACAACUACAGGUAAUUUUAAAAAUAUUUCUCAUCAAAGGUAAAGCAAAUAUAUUUUUAUGCCAAGAGGAGUUUUUAUAUAUUUUGGGCUAUUGUAAAACCUUACUUUUUAGGCCUAGGAUAAAAUUAAGGAAUAUCUUUUUUUUCCGAGCCCAUGAAAAGUGAUAGAAAAUAUUUUCAUUUAAAAUUCAGUCUUAAUAUUUUCAGUAGUAGGGGGUAGAGACUUAUAUUUGUAGUUUUUUAUAGUUUUCUACAUGCUUUUCAUAGCUGUUAAAUCAUUUAAGCAUACAAGGUUU
rnacentral:lncRNA from 10 species